AUUGAACGCUGGCGGCAGGCCUAACACAUGCAAGUCGAGCGGAUGAAGGGAGCUUGCUCCUGGAUUCAGCGGCGGACGGGUGAGUAAUGCCUAGGAAUCUGCCUGGUAGUGGGGGAUAACGUCCGGAAACGGGCGCUAAUACCGCAUACGUCCUGAGGGAGAAAGUGGGGGAUCUUCGGACCUCACGCUAUCAGAUGAGCCUAGGUCGGAUUAGCUAGUUGGUGGGGUAAAGGCCUACCAAGGCGACGAUCCGUAACUGGUCUGAGAGGAUGAUCAGUCACACUGGAACUGAGACACGGUCCAGACUCCUACGGGAGGCAGCAGUGGGGAAUAUUGGACAAUGGGCGAAAGCCUGAUCCAGCCAUGCCGCAUGUGUGAAGAAGGUCUUCGGAUUGUAAAGCACUUUAAGUUGGGAGGAAGGGCAGUAAGUUAAUACCUUGUUGUUUUGACGUUACCAACAGAAUAAGCACCGGCUAACUUCGUG
rnacentral:rRNA from 1 species